rnacentral:lncRNA from 1 species
GUAUAGUAAACAACUGACUAUUAAGCACUGAAUAUUUGUGGAAAUAUCUGCAUUAAAUUCUCUAUCUAAUAAACAUAUUGUAGCUAAUUAACUGAUCACACACACACACAAAUGCCUGUGCACUCUCACACACACCUGUGCACAAUCACACACACGUACUCACACACACAAACUAAUACCUUCUUCCUAAAAGACUAUUGAUUUCACAGGUUAUUUCAUUUGGAUGUAUUUUUUGCCUUUGCCGAUGACUGACUUCCUUUUUGUCACACUUUAGACUGUUGUAAGGUCACAUUGGAUUUGAAAGCAACAUCCUUUCUUCCAUACAUCCGCGCUACCUGAAAGACGACAGCUUCCUGAAUCCAACGAUACCAGUUAUGUGCACAUCGGACCUCCGCUUCAAAAGAUAUGGCCAGACUGUUGUACGGUCACAUUGGAUUUGAAAGAAACAUCCUUUCUUCCAUACAUCCACGCUGCCUGAAAGACGACAGCUUCCUGAAUCCAACGAUACCAGAUAUGUGCACAUCGGACCUCCGCUUCAAAAGAUACGGCCAGGUAAGCUUUGGCCAAUCAGAUCGCAUAUGCUAAUGAGGGUGGAAUUAAUGAGGGUGAAACUCGUUUUUAUCUAUAUACCUAACCUCUAACCCUAACCCUCUAACCCUAACCCUAACCCAAAACCACCCAAAACCUAACCAAACCACUCAAAAAAAUCUCAGAAACACUCAAAAACCACUCAAGAACACUCAAAACCAAGACCAACCCGACCAAAACCACCCAAAACCUAACCAAACCACUCAAAGAACACUCAGAAACACUCAAAAACCACUCAAAACCACUCAAGAACACUAAAAACCAACACCAAACCACUCAAAAAACACUAAGUCCAACCCAUUUGACUAAGUCACAACCAGCCACAUAGAGAAACUCGACUCUAGGGCUGGAACUAAGAAACUCAACCAUAGCCCUAGCACACCAAAACUCAAGUAAUGGAGCAGUACCAUAUCUCGGCGCCUGGUGGCGCUAGAGAGACGGCACUGGGUGCAUUCGAAAGCCCACUCCCUAAUUAGUAUACCCACCAAGUUUCAGCACUCUAGGACUUAUGGUACCCGAGAUAAGGGGGGGGAGGCACUUCGGGGGGAGGCACUCUUCGCAUUUAUCUAUAUAACCUAUCUAUAUAACCUAACCCUAACCUCUAAUCUAACCUAACCCUAACCCAUUUCAGCACUUAUGGACACAACCCCACCGUCCCUAAUCCUACCAUUUCCACCCCUCAGACACAUCAUUUUAGCCCCACCCAUCCUAAUCCUACCCAUU